rnacentral:rRNA from 1 species
GACGAACGCUGGCGGUGCGCUUAACACAUGCAAGUCGAACGGUGAACGGGGCUUCGGCCCCCGGAUCAGUGGCGAACGGGUGCGUACCACGUGGGCAACCUGCCCCAGACACUGGGAUAACUCCGGGAAACCGGGGCUAAUACCGGAUACUCCGACCGAGCCGCAUGGCUCGGUCGGGAAAGCUUUCGCGGUCUGGGAUGGGCCCGCGGCCUAUCAGCUCGUUGGUGGGGUAACGGCCUACCAAGGCGACGACGGGUAGCUGGUCUGAGAGGACGACCGGCCACACUGGGAGUGAGAUACGGCCCAGACUCCUACGGGAGGCAGCAGUGGGGAAUCUUGCGCAAUGGGCGAAAGCCUGACGCAGCGACACCGCGUGAGGGACGAAGGCCCUCGGGUUGUAAACCUCUUUCGGCAGGGACGAAGCGAUCGUGACGGUACCUGCAGAAGAAGCUCCGGCUAACUACGUGCCAGCCGCCGCCGUAAUAC